AAAAGGGAGAGAGAGAGAGAUGAUAAUGUUGAGUUAGAGGGAUUUUAUGUCGCAGGAGAGAUGGCCCAUGUGGCUCUUCACUUUAAUUAGUAUCUAAUUUCUUCCCAUUUUAAGGCCACUAGGACCAUUCUCUUGUGACAUAUUAUCCUUUCUCUCUCACCUAAGUUUUCCAUCAAUAUCACAAAGCACUUUUUUUUUUUUUUGAGUUACACAGUCUAUUUUGUCAGUCUUUCUUAAAUUUCUAUGUAUAGAGGUAGAUUUUUCUUUUUUAGUAAUAUUGAUUGUGUCCAUCUGCAUGCAUCUAUUUUAGUUUCAUAGUAUAGUUUGUUUAUCUUAAAUCACCUCUUCAACUAAAAGAACUAAAUAUAUGUUGGAUAGAGAAUCUGAAUAAUUUUAAAACAAUGUAUGAACACAGUUGUUUUUUAUAUUUAUAUGUGUUUGGGGCGGAUUCAAAAAUUGGAUUAUAGUUUUCUUUUAAAUGUUUAAAUGUGUUUUUAUCCUCUGUAUUUGUAAAUCAUAAAACUAGUCUUACUUAUCAAAGGCCUUUAAUGCCGUUUUUGCUUUAAUAUCGGUUUAAAAACGACAUUAAUGAGGUCUUUGAUGUCGUUUUUAAACCGACAUCUUCGAUGGUGUUAUUGAAAGUCUUUAAUGUCGGUUGUCCUUUGAUGUCAGUUUUAAGCCGACAUUAAAGAGCCCCACAAUGUCAGUUUAAACCUUGUUUUUUGGUCCAUUUUCAAAAAUUUAUUUUUAUUAAAUUUUUGGAUUAUUGUCCACUUUUUUAUUUCGCCAAAUAGUUAAAAGCGACAUCGUGGAUUUAUAUGGAUAAAUAUUUUUUUUUACACCAACAAAUAUUCUAAUUGAUUAAUUGCUUGAUGAUUCUUGGUCAUAUUACAUAUGUUUUUGGUAUAAGGACAGUGGAGGAAGAUAUGAUCGGUUGUUUCAUUACUUUUCUGACAAAGUACGCACCAGUUUGGAUUGAGACAAAAAAAAAUCAGUCUCCUUUGAAUCUUUUCCAUCGUGAAAAUGUCAUUGUAUGCCGUUGUUCAUAAGAAGAAUUUGCACUUCUCAGGAACUUUAGAUUUCUACAAUUUCUUGAAAUGGACUGUAAAUUCUGAAUUAAUAGCAGGUGGAGCAUUUGUUUUGAUUACAGAUUUAACAGAGAAGGAGCCAUCGUUGUUUGGUUUCCAGAUCGGUUGAUCUUUGUGAAUGUUGUCUGUGAGAGGAGGAAUGCUGCUCUGUAUAGUUCUCCACUAGUUGAACCAGUCAAUGGAUUUGCAAAUGGAUCUCCAUGGAGCAUUGGAGCUACUGUAUUUUACAACUGUGGAAAACAUAUCCAUAUCCAUAUCCCUACAACAGUAUUUUGCAUCAAUCAGAGAUUUCCAGAGAACAUUUGGUUCAUUUAAAUAUCUCCAUAGCCAUUUGUGAGCAAAGCAAAAUUUGUAGCAGAUAGAGGUGUAAUACCCAAUCCUCCAGAGUCAAGAGAGUUAGUAACUGUAGACCAUUUAACAGGAUUGAGGUUGUUUUUUUGAGUUCCUGAUAUGCAAAUGUUGUCAUAGUUACCUCUCAAGAAAACUCCAAUAUUUCUCAAUGGUUUUAUAUGCAUGAGUAAGAGCUUUAAACACAAAGAGUUGGUAUAUAGAUUUUUUUUUUAAA